rnacentral:sRNA from 2 species
UUAUCGCGUUAGGGAUUGCAGCGGCAUCCUUUUUUAGGGGUUUGACCGCUAAAAAAGAUACAGCGGAAAGAGCGACCCGAU